rnacentral:rRNA from 1 species
CCUACGGGUGGCAGCAGUGAGGAAUAUUGGUCAAUGGGCGAGAGCCUGAACCAGCCAAGUCGCGUGAGGGAAGACGGUCCUAUGGAUUGUAAACCUCUUUUGUCGGGGAGCAAAAAGGCCUCGUGAGGCCACAAGUGAGAGUACCCGAAGAAAAAGCAUCGGCUAACUCCGUGCCAGCAGCCGCGGUAAUACGGAGGAUGCGAGCGUUAUCCGGAUUGAUUGGGUUUAAAGGGUGCGUAGGCGGACUGGAAAGUCAGCGGUAAAAUCGAGAGGCUCAACCUCUUUCCGCCGUUGAAACUGUCGGUCGUGAGUGGGCGAGAGGUAGGCGGAAUGCGUGGUGUAGCGGUGAAAUGCAUAGAUAUCACGAAGAACUCCGAUUGCGAAGGCAGCAUACGGGCGCCCGACUGACGCUGAGGCACGAAAGCGUGGGUAGCGAACAGGAUUAGAUACCCGUGUAGUC